UAGUAUUAAAUUAAAAGUAUUCUCUGCCCAAUGAUUUAUUUUAAAUGGCUGCAGUAUUUUGACUGUACAAAGGUAGCAUAAUAAUUAGUUCUUUAAUUGAGGUCUAGAAUGAAUGAGAGUAUGAAAAAUUAGUUUUAUUAUUUUUAAAAUUAAAAUUUAAUAUUUAGGUUAAAAAGCCUAAUUAUUUUUUAGGGACGAUAAGACCCUAUAGAAUUUAAAUUUAUAAUAAAUGAAAAUACUUAUAGACAGUUUUAUUAUCAUUUAUGAUAAAUUUUUGUUGGGGUGAUAAAUAAAUUUAACUUUAUUUUAAAUUUUCAUUGAUUUAUGAUUUUUUUGAUCCAAUAAAUUUGAUUAAAAGAUAAAAUUACCUUAGGGAUAACAGCGUAAUUUUAAUGGGGAGUUCAUAUUUAUAUUAAAGUUUGCGACCUCGAUGUUGAAUUAAGAUUAUUUUAGGGGGUAG
rnacentral:rRNA from 1 species